rnacentral:rRNA from 1 species
UGGGGAAUAUUGCACAAUGGGCGCAAGCCUGAUGCAGCCAUGCCGCGUGUGUGAAGAAGGCCUUCGGGUUGUAAAGCACUUUCAGCGAGGAGGAAGGUGGUGAGCUUAAUACGCUCAUCAAUUGACGUUACUCGCAGAAGAAGCACCGGCUAACUCCGUGCCAGCAGCCGCGGUAAUACGGAGGGUGCAAGCGUUAAUCGGAAUUACUGGGCGUAAAGCGCACGCAGGCGGUUUGUUAAGUCAGAUGUGAAAUCCCCGGGCUCAACCUGGGAACUGCAUUUGAAACUGGCAAGCUAGAGUCUCGUAGAGGGGGGUAGAAUUCCAGGUGUAGCGGUGAAAUGCGUAGAGAUCUGGAGGAAUACCGGUGGCGAAGGCGGCCCCCUGGACGAAGACUGACGCUCAGGUGCGAAAGCGUGGGGCAGCAAACAGGAUUAGAUACCCUGGUAGUCCACGCUGUAAACGAUGUCGAUUUUGGAGGUUGUGCCCUUGAGGCGUGGCUUCCGGAGCUAACGNGUUAAUCGACCGCCUGGGGAGUACGGCCGCAAGGUUAAAACUCAAAGG